AUGAGAGCUCUGCCCUCAUGGUUAGGAUAAAUGCCCUUUUAGAAAACACUUCAUAGAGCUGCCUCCCCACUCCCAUGCCUUCUACCCAUUUGAGGACACCUAGACCACAUCGUCUCUGAGGAAUGAGCCUUUUCCUUUCCUAUUCUCCUUCUACCAUGUGAGGACGUAGCUUUACUUUCUGUUCCAUAGGAUGCAACAAUAAGGUACCAUCUUGGAAGCAGAAAGCAGAUCUCACCAGAAACCAAAUCUGCCAGCACCAUGAUGUUGGAUUUCCCAGGCUCCAGAACACUACACCACAUGGUGGAUACACGGACACGAAGGGUUUGAUCAGCAUUGAAAGCCGGCACUCAAAGUUCUCAUAUUGAAUAUUAGGUCCAGGCAUGGAGUGAUAUUGUAUAUUUAUAAAUAUUUGCAAAGAAAUCCACCAAAGUUUGGAGGUAAGUUAUUAAAUA
rnacentral:lncRNA from 13 species